UGCGUUUAUUUCUGCGCGUGUGAGUUCAAAUUUUGCAUUUUUGCUCCCUUAUAAUGCGCUAAUUUGAGUUUUCCCCUUUGACGAGAAACGCCAGAUACCUUCCUCGACGUGUGUCAAUUUUCGCUAGAACGUGCAAAUAUAAAUUGCACCAUCUUCCAAAAUCUCAGAAAGUGACAAGCGCAAGUCAUGUUUGUUCUUUUACUUACUUGAUUGACUCGGAUGACUAGGAGACUAUUGUAUUAAAGGAGAAUAACUGAAUUUCGCUAUCUUCGCGUGAUUAUUUCCACUUCUAUAUAUAUUAGAUAACAUUGAUGCUAGAUGGUUUAGAUUUGAGUAUUUUGUUUCCUUAUAUUAAACUCGUCAAGCAUAUUAUCCAGAAAAAAAAAACGAAUCGAGAUAUUUUCGGUCUCAUUGCGAUUUUUUCCAGGAAUUACACUUUAUAUAUCUACGAUAUCUUCUCUAUAUCUACAAUAUUUAUCGUUAAAUGUUAUUCGAUUAGAUUAUUCGAUUCUACAUGAUUUUGAAUAUUAACGUGAAAAAUGCCAAUCACUGAAAUGUGUCACUGAAAAACUGUGUUGCAAAUAAAUACAACUUUAAAUGAGUAUCGUAUUUCCCGUGUUUUUAUUAUAGUAUGUUAUCUAGAUUGAAUAAAAAAAAUUAGUGUUAUUCAUCGCAAUUGCAGUUUGUUAAUUGAAGGGAUAAAACAUCUUGAGUUAUUAAUACGCAUUGAACUAUUCACAUGCGCAAUGUAAUGACAACAUGACAAAGCAAUAAGUGAUUAAUCGAUGUUUAUUGAAUUCAAUUGAGACUAUUGCACGUUCGUCAAGCUGCGGCCAAUGAAAGUUAUUAAAAACUGAUCGUUACAUUUAUCGAUGUACCAACGAUGAGAAAAUGAGAGUGCUGAGUAAUUAUUAAAAUAAUUUUGAGUAUCCUGUUUUAUAUAUCUAAUGAAUACAAAUGUCCAUUAAUAAAAUUAUCAAUAAAGCUAUCGACACAAUCGAAACGACAAGCACGGAACGGCAGUAUGAGAUCAUAUUUAAUGGCGCCAAAGUAAAACAAAGUAUAAAUUAAAUUUCAAGAUUUCUUUAAAGUAGAGAUAGAAGAGAGAAAGAAGCGGGAAAGAGGUAGAGAGUAUAGAGUUCUUAUUCUUUGUAUUAAUUUGCAUUAUUUUUUAGAAUUUUAGAAUUUUUGAACACGGCAAAAUUAAUAUUAUCGUGAAAUAAAAGAAAUUGGCAACAAUUCUUUUCAUUACAAUAGUCAGGAAUCGAGACGUAUUUGUAAAAUUAAUGGGCUAUCACAAUUAUUAUACAUAUCGAACGCUACAUAUAUAGUUUGCUGUAAUAUCGUCAAUCAAAUAUCGCGGUGCUUUCGACGAAAAUAAUAUCAAGGCAUAUCACUAUGGUGUAUGAAUACGUCCGUCAACACGACCGAUAGUGAGAUCUAAACGACCAAUCACCUUGACACUGACUCGGCAAGGGAGCUAAUUCCGUACGAACAAAGAGGGAAGGGGGGGGGGGAGCAGAUGUGUUCAUCGUGCAAUAAGUCACACGUGAGCGAUACGCCGAAAUGACGGCGAGAUAUUCGCGGUACACAUGGUGCCGUGAUGUCGUCACGGAAUGACGAGGCGAAUCCGAGGAAUGACGUACCUCACAGCACAUUGCACGAGUUCUACCCCCCUUCGCCCCGCCCCCCAUACGCUUAGAUCUUCCAGAUCGUCGGGAUUACACGCGAUUGACACGAAUUCCAAGAGUGCGAUGAAUGGCCGAGCGACGACGGCCUUGCUUUCUAUGAGCUUGCCUUCGUGACGCCAAUUUCGAGGAGACGACAAUCGUAUAGAAUAAGAAUGCGCCUAUGAAAGUAAUUCAACGUCAUCGUUACGUUUUGCGCUCGCAGAUAGACGGUACUGUAGGUUGUGUAAGCGUUAGUAAUUCUAUUAUAAAUGUGAACCAACUAGCACUAACUUCUUGUAUUAAAGCUCCGAUUCCCUGUUUUGCAAGAAUUAUUUUUAAUGUAUGAAUAAUAAUUUAAUCUUGAAGGCGGUAAUGAGCGAGGUGAACACGAUGUGAUGAUAAAGUUGAAUAAUUCAUAAAAUUCAUGAAAAAUGAGCUUCUGGCUUUGUUACGCAUUUCACGGUUUCAAUUAUCGUGAUGUACUAGUACGUCGUGAAUACAAAUGACUGUGACAAAUGACUGGUUGAAUGUUAUUUUUAGAAAUAUGCAAAUGAAAGCCUCCUUACCUACUAUGCUUCACGCGCUCUUGGAAUUGUAAAACAAGAAACACUUCGGCAAAUAAAUUUCUUCAAGAAGCCUUUCCAUCUGUAUAGUUUACCCGCGCCGAAUAUUUAUACAUCUAACAGUGAUUGUAAAACGAAUAAAAGUUUUUUUUGUGUACAGUUAACUGUACAUUUGAUGAAGAAUGUGUUAAUUGCAUUGUUAGAAGAUUCAAGUCACAUAGAUGUGCUACUAAUAUUCUUUAUUUGGACGCGACGGGAACGAGAGGCAACAACAGCAGCAGCAGCAGCAGCAGCAGCAACAGUUGCAGCUUCGCGAAAUUACUCCCCGCCGCAUUGCUACGCGUCGCGUUACAUUGCCCGCCCGCUUGUAUUCAAAUGCUCGCGCAUUCGACGGGCUUUCCUCGAGCUUAAUGCGAGCCGGCUGGCGCUUGUUGUUUGCUCGGAUGUAUAAAUGCGGCGGACGCGAAGCGCGAGCUCCGCCGGGCGGUGUCAAGGAAUCCAAUAAAAGAGAACCCGGCGAAUUACAAGGCCCUCUCGCAGCACGCCGCAACCUUCCCCCCCCUUUCCUCUCGGACCGAGGAGAACGAGGAUUCCUCUCGGACAAAAUUCCAACGACUCUCGGCUAUUACCGCCAGAGAUUAUCCGCUCUCUUUCCUCGCACUUUUCGUCUCCCGCGAGGAGACGAAGGGGAGGAGAGAGGUAGGAAAAGGUCGCGGGGGUGCCCCCGCGGGGGUGCAGGGAGGAAGGGAGAUAACUCGCGCUAGUCCAGACGUUUACGAUCGUUCCGAGCCUUAACGAGGUUAAUCGCGAACCCCUGAAAACGAGCGUUGAGGUCGGCAGAGCCGGGAGAGCGUACACUUUAAACGCCACCGCGCGCGGGUCACACUCGCUUCCGGCGCUCUUGCUCUCGCUUUAGCUUUUGCCGCGGCCACUCGGCGUGUUUAGCGAGGUAGACACGAGCAUUUGACAUUUGUUAACGUUAGAAGCCGAGGAGGUCGCCAGCAAAUUGCGAACGGGCGACCUGGCUUCGUUACCUGACAAAGCAGAAGACUCUUUCCGUUUUCCAUCGCUCUCUCUCUCUCUCUCUCUCUCUCUCUCUCUCUCUCUCUCUCUCUCUCUCUCUCUUUGUGCUUUUCUGUUUUCGAAAGCAUGUAACCAUUUACUGCUCUGCGACGCGCAAUUUUAUAUCUAACCGUUUAUUCAUUAUAACUUCAACAACAGAGGUACGUAGACUUCAAAUUAAAAAUUUAUACAUCGCUAUUUAUAUUAAAUUAUAAUUCCAAGGAAAUUUAUGGACGAAAACUAGAGAUGGAAGAAAUUCCAAGCCAGCGACAAAACAGAUGUUUCCUCGUCUUUGUAAAACUGCGAUUUUAAGCUGGAUUUAAUAGAAGCUGCAUUUUACAUGGGCAAUUUCGUGUUGCAAUUAAUUAAAAAAAUUUUAACUUUAUUAGAAAAUUUACUUUAUUAGAAAAUUUUCUGCGUAAUGUGUUUUUUGAAUUAUAUUUGGUAUAUCGGAUUGUAUGUUACGGGAAGAUUGACGCGUUGCAUGAAAAAUUCAAACUUUUCCCUUAAUGUAGCCCGGUUUAGACUGUUCGCUGCUCAUUCACGUCCCGUGUAAUUAUGCUCCCAUAAAUCGCGAAUAAUAUCGCACACAUUUGGCCCAUUAUUUUACGGCCGUCUACUAAACGUAACACGCGGCGAUAAUAAAUUCUUAUAAUCGUAACUCGUAAUUAAAAUCUCGCCAUUCGACGGUACACGUGUAGCGUCGCGCAGGCCUGAGUGCAACAAAGGUGCUUGCACGAAAUUUGGAACGGAGAUGCAGAAUUCCGUAUUAAGCGGCAAGUUGAAGAGAGAGAGAGAGAGAGUGGGAGGGAGGGAGGGAGGGAGAGAGGCGAAUUAUAUCCGCACUGGAGAACACGAAUUAUUUAGGGAGCCUUUAAAAGGAAAGGAAAAGAGUGAGAAAACGCGUCUCUCAUUUGGCAUUUCCGCUAGCUCGCACCCUUGAUAUUCGCGCCGACAUUCUUCGCGCGCGAUCGCGAGUCUCUUCCGCAAAUUUACGAUUUCCGUUAUUAAACAAAAGUCUGUCGUUGCCCGCGACACGUUGAUUCUACUCAAGGCGGGGACAUCGGCGCGGAAGCGCUUUUCCUUUUCUCCCCGCGUUAUCUCGUGCCAUUUUCCUACUUUCAUCUCGGGAGAGACAAAAGUAUUUGCGGGAAAAUCGCUUAUUCGCGGAGCACGAAACGCGUUCCUCCCCUUUUCGUAAUCUCCAAUUUUUGUUGCGCGCGGGGAUAAUCAGUAGGCCGAUUCUAUCAAGUCCCGUAUCAAGCCUUAAUCAAUUCGAUCCGGACAACGAGCACGUUCCUCUACGUGGCUCGUACAUCGGCGACGUACAGGACGUUCCAAUGGGAAAACCGGCCGGGGCAAAUUCUCAAAGGAUCCGGCAACAUAUAAUCGUAUAAAUGCGCCCGUCGGCGCGUUUUGGUUGAUCGAACCUAUUGCACAUAAUCCUUGGACUGUGUAUGUCUUUACUUUUACGACGUGGCAUUUUUUAUUAUCUCCUUUUUAUACUACGUUCUUUAUUUUACGUUUUCUCUCAGCGAGUUGCGAUUUUUUCCUUCCCCGCUACCCGUUAGGGAAUUCGCUAAAAGUAAUGAUAAUAAAUGUUAUUACUAUUACGCAAUUAUGCAGAGACAUAGAUAUUCUUAUUUUACCUUAUAGUCUUCAAACCGGUUGGCGCACAUAAAGACAUCAGUACUCUAAAUUUCAUUGCUCCUAAAAAAUUUCAUUGUUCAUAAAAAGUUUUCAAUUUAAGGACAUCUUUUGAGAUUCCUUUUUCUUAAGUAGCACAUCGGCCAUCAAGGAAACGUCGUUAGAAAAAUGCCGAACGUUGAGAAACGGACUCGAGAUUUUUGAAGAAGGUCUCGUCCCACAUUUACUUAUUCCACAUUUACGUUGCACGUCUGGCGAGAUGGAAAUUGAACAGUACACCGGAGAGGAAAAGCGAGAGUUAACUCCGUCCACAAGAAUUCAAAUUACUUCAUCAAACGCCACGACGACGACGACGACGACGACGACGACGACGACGACGACGACCUCGCUUACCUCGGAACUGUCCUGUACGCGAAGCGAUCGUGUAAUCCGGCGCUUGCACGCGGCGGGCGUAUGAGGAGGGUGUGUGCAUGUCGCAGCGAGCGAGUGAUCGCGCGCGUGUUUACGCUUCGCGAUGUACGACACGUUCCUGCGCGACUGUAUACGUCUAUUACGUGUAUACGGGAUGUGCGGCUUAUGAGCACGUACAUGGGGGAUACGUGCGCACGUGUGUGUAUGCGUGUGCGCGCGUUCGUGUUUUGAUACGCCACCCCCGCCUGUGCAUAUCCGUGAUUUAAAAAUAUAAUAUAUUCAACGGCUGACCGCGCGCGCGCGUUGCCGUGCACCGUUUAGCUAUCCGACCAUAAUAGUCUCCCGUAAAGCUCCAUACUCUUUCCCUCCCGCGACGUCCCCUUUCCUCCUCCGCCGCCCCUUGCACGCGUCGCUUCGUUCUAUCUCAUAUCUCUCCACGUUGCCGGACUACCCCCUCCCCCCCCGUCCUCGCGUCCUCCUCUCCGCCCCCGGCGGUCUUGUGUUUUCUGAAUAUUUCUUUUUUUCUUUCCUGCGGACCACUGUAUCUUCCCGCUCUCGCUUUUAAACCGCAUCAAAGGGAUUUUUAACCGCGGCACUUUUGGCCGGACUGCGUGUAAUACACGUGGACACACCUAAUUUGCCACUUUUUCGUGCGCCGACAAAAGUCGUUGCGCUCUCUUGUGCGCGGAAAAUUUACUCCUCCCACCGUACGCGAGCGUUAAAAAAUUAACCCCGUGAUAACGUCUUGUCGCGAAUGAAUGCGAGAGAAGAGCCGACUUUAACAAAUAAAAAAAAACACAAUUUAACGUAUCAUUACGAGUAUCCCAUCCCAUCCAUUUAGGUAACGACAAUUUCGAAAGUUUGAUUAGUUUCUCUAGCGUCAGGAAGAUAAGCAACUCCGAAUUUUUCGACUAUCGACUUUGCAAUUAGACCGUCGAAAUCACGAGAAAUUAUUAUUGCCUCUUUGCAUAAAUAAGUAACGGACAAGCUUUUGAAGUUCACUUGCUUCGCGUGGACACGCGAAAUCUCGAUUGCGUUUCGUGACGCAACUCGUCGAAAGCUAAUACAGAACCCCAAAUCGGAUCUUGAUGGCGCGAUAUUGUCGAAACUUUGCGACUUGUGCCUUGUACUCGUGCAUAAGCGGCAAGCAGAAUUUUUUAUCAACGCCAAAGCCGUAGCCGAUCAUUAUCUUAUCUGCGUACCCUGCCCCAUUAACAUCGAUCGAGACCAAUUACAAAGGACACACACGACUUUUCUGAAUGCCUCCUUUUUUUUUUUGCUUCUCCGAUGCCCACUAUAUUUUUCACCUCGCAAUUAGACGCAUUCGUAUAUAGCUUGCUUCCGAGUUAUUCUUUUACGUAAUUAACCGUAAAGAUAAUCUUAUAUAUGUUGUGAAAAUAAAAAACCAGACUCAGUCAAUUUCUGCGCGAGUAAAAAAAUCCAAGCAUAAUUCAGGCAGAACUAAUUUACUUCUGCCCAUUAACUUUGCAUUCAGGUUCAUUGCAUUAUAUAGUCUGGGUUAUUUAUUUACAAACCGGAAGCUCAUUGGUAACCUGGCUCGGCGAUGUUGCGGCGGUAGAAGACGAGCCGGAGAAACGCCUGGCGUGCUGGUGGCUUAAUUGCUCGGGGAUUCCAGCUCGUUAUAGCCGGUGUCUCAGGUACGCUUACGUAGCCCGUUACAGCGGUUUCGCUAACCCAGUUCGCGACUCAGUUCCCCGGCCAUUUACCACGCGGACCCGAAAUUUCCAACGUCGUUGGAAUCUUAAGGCGAUCGUGACUUUACUCCUCGUUUAAUAGCCGCAAUUUAUUCGAUCUUUCCAUUUCUGAAUACGACGACGAUCGUAACGCGUCUCGCACGUUACCGUACACUUAGCCGAGGUUCAAGCAAAAAUAGCCGCGGUCACGCAAUUGUAUCAAAAUCCAGUGACGCAAAAUCUUAUUCGGAAGAAAACUUCAUCAAAAAAUAUAUCUUGACAUUACAUCAAAAGUGAUUGUUGUAUUGCUACAAUUCCCUUUAAAUUUUUCUUUGAAACGACGUACCCUCUUCCCAAUUCUUUUAUUUAACAGAUAAUUUUACCUCUUCUUUGUUUUACUUUAUUAUAAUUUUAGGAUUUUUAGUAUAAUUCGCUGUUUUCAGGCGAUUAAAAAUUACAAAUUGUUGACAUAUUGUAAUUACGACGCAACGUUUUACAUUUCACGAAAUCUAUUUCAUUUCACACAAAACAGUUCUUUCCAUUUCCUCGGUCUGUUGCGAUUUUCUCGUUGCUUGACAGUUAGUGUCGCCAACAUUUAUCCGACGGACUCGCGGAUCAAUCCGUGGCUCUCUGGUUGCUACCUCCCUCACUUUUGUACUGUCUUGUGAAAAUUUCUCGAUGUGCACCACCGGCGAGUCUAUCUUCGGGGUGUAAUUCGCGAACGUCAACGGAAUACCAAUGUCGUCGUCGCCGUCGGUGUUCUCUAUCGUCGUCUCCUCGCCGUUCUCCAUUCUCUCCGUGAGUGGUCAUAAAAGUUUAGAGGAAACCCCGUUCGGAAUAGGGAGAGGGAUGAGAGCAGAGGGAAGGGAGAAGGGAGACGGAAUAAGAAUCUCGCAAGAUAAGAAAAAAAGACGGAUGGCUCGUAGAUGGUCUACUUUAUUGCGGCAUUGGACAUUAUAUAGCUUAUGAAGGCGUGACGGGAGGGUGGGAGCUUUGGUUCGAUCAGGUAGAGAAAGAGGAAGGGAGGAAGAUAGAGAGGCCUUCGCUCGUGAAUGAAUGAUCAAUCGUUCCGCAUAUUGACUGGCACGGCGAGAGGGUCAAAAUGAAUUUUUAUACACUGAUCGCUUGCCAUUCAUUCACAUUCGUUAAACGAUAAAACAGAGCAAAUUCACUUUGAGAACAUAUAUAGGAUUAAUUGGACGCAAUUACGUAACAGAAAACCAGCUGUUGUUGUUGAAAUUUUUUGUCAUUAUUGCGAAAUUUGCUCUAGCUUUUCUAUCAGAAAUAUGUUUCGAUAGAAAAAGUAUCGAAUUGUUCACGUGUGCUUUAAAGACAAAAAUCUUAAAUGCAAUAACAAGUACUCACAUAUAUAAUCCCUUUUGUGCCAUGAAGCUCGAUUGUGGAAACUUUACGAUUACAUUGUCAACUUCCAGAAUUUUCUUUUGUACUACACGCAGUGCAGCGCAAUGCAUGGCUUGCUGUUUAUAUGUAUUAUCGUGAUAUCACGCCAUUGUUUAUGCGAUUGCGAUUGCAAUCUUUAAUACAAAACUCUAGAGGCCGUUUCUUUUUACAUCUGAAUUGUAAAUUUCGUGCGCCGCGUGCGUGGAAUGAUAAAUACUAUCCUUCGUAGAGAGCCGGCUCCCCGGAGAACCGUACGUGACUCAGUCCGGAGAAUAGCUCCUUGCUUCUUGCGAGACGGCGGAUUGAGCUUUUCGAUGCUUUUUCCUCAGCCGCGAGAAGCAUAACCACGAGAGAUAACUGCGAACGAGCAGUGAAUUAAAUCGAAGUCAAUAUUUCCCUUAAAUUAUGAAAGAAUCGCGAAAGGUACCGGCGGCAAGGCAAAAUCGCGGACGGGCGAGUCGAGUGAUUGAACGUUUCAUCUUUAAUUUAAGAAAUAAUACGCGAUAAAUUUCGUCGGAACCCAUUAUCAAUCUUUGAUGGAUACGCUAUCGUACGUAAAGACCGAAAAGCAAUCUUGACGUUUUAUUUUACUCGAAACAUCUCAUAAGUAAAUGUGAAAUCUGUGGCGGUACUUCAAUCGUAUACAAGAAAGGAAAAAAAAA